rnacentral:rRNA from 1 species
AUUGAACGCUGGCGGCAUGCUUUACACAUGCAAGUCGAACGGUAACAGCACUUCGGUGGCUGACGAGUGGCGAACGGGUGAGUAAUACAUCGGAACGUGCCUAGUAGUGGGGGAUAACUACUCGAAAGAGUAGCUAAUACCGAAUGAGAUCUAAGGAUGAAAGCAGGGGACCUUCGGGACUUGCGCUACUAGAGCGGCUGAUGGCAGAUUAGGUAGUUGGUGGGAUAAAAGCUUACCAAGCCGACGAUCUGUAGCUGGUCUGAGAGGACGACCAGCCACACUGGGACUGAGACACGGCCCAGACUCCUACGGGAGGCAGCAGUGGGGAAUUUUGGACAAUGGGCGCAAGCCUGAUCCAGCAAUGCCGCGUGCAGGAUGAAGGCCUUCGGGUUGUAAACUGCUUUUGUACGGAACGAAAAGCCCUCUUCUAAUACAGGAGGGUCAUGACGGUACCGUAAGAAUAAGCACCGGCUAACUACGUG